UGGCUUUCCUUUUUCCACUCUUCAACUCUCAAUUACAGACACGCAAAAGAAAGAAAGUAGACGCGGAGAGAGGGGGAGAGAGAGAGAGAGAGCAGAAGCAUGACAAUGGCGUCUUGGAAUGUAGGUGCGUAUCAGAAGGUGUGACAAUCAAUCACCAAUUCACGGAGACACCAGCACUUGAUGUAACAUGCAGAAAGAAAGAAAGAGACAGAGAUCGUUCCUACCCUUAUAAAGUCAUUGAAGUUACACCUCCUCCAAAGAAUCUUGGUAUCCGUUGCUUUCCCCCUAACCUGCAAUGUGGAGAAAGCGUGACAAUUGAAGGGCAAGCAUAUACCAUUUCAUCUGUAACUCAUCGAUACCAGCUUCGAAGGGGGAAGUAUGAACCUAGCGAGAAGAGACUUGAUGUUUUGUCGACAGGGAGAUACAUCUUGAACUUAUAUUUAGAGAACUUGCUAGAACAAUCUUGAUAUUUUAUGUUGUUAAUUUCACAAUCAUUUGUCUCCUGAAAAUUCAUAAGCUUUACAGGAGAAUGAAUCUCCUACUGUGUUACUAUAA